UACAGAGGGGGCAAGCGUUGUUCGGAAUUACUGGGCGUAAAGGGCGCGUAGGCGGCCAACUAAGUCAGACGUGAAAUCCCCAGGCUCAACCUGGGAACUGCGUCUGAUACUGGAUGGCUCGAGUUCGGGAGAGGGAAGUGGAAUUCCAGGUGUAGCGGUGAAAUGCGUAGAUAUCUGGAGGAACACCGGUGGCGAAGGCGGCAUCCUGGACCGGCAUUGACGCUGAGGCGCGAAAGCUAGGGGAGCAAACGGGG
rnacentral:rRNA from 1 species